GACGAACGCUGGCGGCGUGCCUAAUACAUGCAAGUCGAACGAAGCUGUUUUAACUGGUGCUUGCACCGACUUAAACAACUGAGUGGCGAACGGGUGAGUAACACGUGGGUAACCUGCCCCAAAGCGGGGGAUAACAUUUGGAAACAGAUGCUAAUACCGCAUAACCACAGAAACCACAUGGUUUCUGUGUCAAAGAUGGUUUCGGCUAUCACUUUGGGAUGGACCCGCGGCGUAUUAGCUAGUUGAUAAGGUAAUGGCUUACCAAGGCAAUGAUACGUAGCCGAACUGAGAGGUUGAUCGGCCACAUUGGGACUGAGACACGGCCCAAACUCCUACGGGAGGCAGCAGUAGGGAAUCUUCCACAAUGGACGAAAGUCUGAUGGAGCAACGCGCGUGAGUGAAGAAGGUUUUCGGAUCGUAAAACUCUGUUGUCAGAGAAGAACGUGUGCGAGAGUAACUGUUCGUGCAGUGACGGUAUCUGGCCAGAAAGCCACGGCUAACUACGUGCCAGCAGCCGCGUAA
rnacentral:rRNA from 1 species